rnacentral:rRNA from 1 species
CACGUAGGGGGCGAGCGUUGUCCGGAUUCAUUGGGCGUAAAGGGCGCGCAGGCGCCCGGAAGUCGGAUGUGAAACUCGAGGCUCAACCUCGAGCGUGCACCCGAUACUGCCGGGCUUGAGGCAGGUAGGGAGAUCGGAUCCUGGUGUAGCGGUGAAAUGCGCAGAUAUCAGGAGGAACACCGGUGGCGAAGGCGGAUCUCUGGGCCUGUCCUGACGCUGAGGCGCGAAAGCUAGGGGAGCAAACAGG